UGUAAAGCGCUUUGAGUGGUCAAAAAUGACUGGAAAAGCGCUAUAUACGUUCAGUCCAUUUACCAUUUAUUUACCACAUCAAUUAUGUGUGAGGCAGCAAGUUUGACAGGUUUAAGCUCUGCCCCCAGCUGGGUGAACUAAAGCAGGAAACAGUUUGUGAUCGUUGUUUCCUGCAGAGACUCCCAGACAAUCAGAUUCACCUUCAGACCAAACUAGCAGCUUCCUCUCAGUGAGUCCAGCUGCAGGAGAGAAAAGUGGAAACCUCCAACUCUGCUGCUUCAAGCUGCUCACACUGAAGCUUCAUUCAAAGACAAAAUGGCUUCCAGGUUAGAGGAGGAUCUCUGCUGUUCAGUCUGUCAGGACGUCUUUAAGGAUCCGCUUGUUCUGUCAUGUAGCCACAGCUUCUGUAAGGAAUCUCUGAAGAGCUGGUGGGGAGAGAAACCAUCAAGAGAUUGUCCAGUUUGUAAGAGGAGAUCUUCAAGGUCUGAUCCACCUUUAAAUCUGGUUCUGAAGAACCUGUGUGAGACUUUCUUACAGCAGAGAAAUCAGAGACUUUCAGAGGAUCUCUGCAGUCUGCACGCUGAGAAACUCAAACUCUUCUGUCUGAACCAUCGAGAUCCCAUUUGCUCCAUCUGCAGAGAUUCAGAAAAACACACCAACCACAGAUUCAGACACAUUGAUGAAGCUGCUCAGCAUCACAGAGAGAUCAUCCAGGACUCCACCUGACUGAAGAUCUGACCAGUUUGACUCUAGGAGAGGAACAGCAACUUCCUUAUAAUCCAGAGAGAUUUGAGGUCGAGUGGUCGGUCCUGAGCUCUGAAGGCUUUAACUCAGGGAAGCACAGCUGGGAUGUUGAUGCUGGAGAUGGUGGAGACUUGGAACUUGGUGUGACAGCAGAGUCUGUCCAGAGGGAGGGUGUCAUGAAAUGGUGGUGUAUGGUGGUGAGGAAAACGCAGCAGGCUCAGGAUGAGAUGAGAUAUGGUGGUUUAAUAGUAAUCCAGGAAAUAAACACAGCCCCAAAACGGUCCCAAAGCCGGGCAGCACGGCCGAGCUCAAGCCAGGGCUCGACGCCGGUAGCAACCGGUAAACGAGGGACGAGAAAACAGACUGGGCCCAUGGAACGAACCGACAAGGACCCGACCAAGACACAGAGACACAGGUGACACUAAAUACACAAGAGGUAAUCAGGGAACGAGAAACACCUGGGGACUAAUCAAAGGGAGACAGGACAACACGGAGACACAGAUACACAUGAAACUCAAAAUAAACACACAGAAAAACACAGAUCCUGACAGAGGGAAAGAUAGAGUCUGGAUUGUUGCAUCUGUGUUUCUAUGAAGAAAAAUACAAAACAUGGUCUCCUCCAGCUCCUCCCACAUUUCUCUCAGUCCAGAAGAAACUCCAGAGGAUCAGAGUGAAUCUGGACUGGGACAGAGGAAAGCUAUCGUCCUUUGAUCUGGAUACUAACACAAACAUACACACUUUCAGACACACCUUCACUGACAAGAUGUUUCCGUACAUCAGCACUUUGUGUAAAGUAAAACUUACCAAUGAAGAUCUCAGCGGUCAAACAGCAGCUCUGAGGUUUUCAGCAUGAAGAUCCAAAAGUCCAAAUGAAACUUUAUUGAUCAGUUUAAAACUGGACUGAUGUUCUGGUUCUUGACUCUGUAACUGGAUGUUGGACUUCUUAACAAACUGGACAUCUUCAUCUGUCAUCUUGAACACUGUGUCCUCAGCCCACUGAUGGACUUCUUCACCAGCAGUCGACUUUCCAGGUUCAUCCUCAACAUCUUUAGCACAGGGGUGGAGAUGGUCACCAGGCUCACAUACCUUGGGGUUCACAUCUCCAACACCAGGUGGCAGAAAGGACGGGUCGGUCUCCAACAUUAGGAAUUGCUUCUACAGCUGAUUGGUGGAGAGCAGACUGACUUCCUGCCAGAGAAGCAGGAACAUUUCUGGAACAUGUACCAGAGUCAAUGGAGGGACGGAGACCUGCAUGUCCCCAACAACCCUGCACAUGAACUGUCCACCUGGAUGAGAAACAUCUUUUCCACAGAUGCUGUGAAGCUGCUGAAAUGUUGUUUAUGAUAAACCGAUCUCAGUUUCUGGGUGUAAAACCUUUGUUUUUUUAACAAAAUUGAUUUGGAUUGAAUACUUUAGUUGAAACUCUGA